GCAGCCGCGCCCCCAGCCGUAUUUCCGCGGGCGCUGAGCACUAGAGAGAGCGUCUUGUGGCUGCGGCCUGCCCCUCAGCCUCCUCCGCGCGGUUACCCCUGUACCCGCCGCCAUCCGUCCUGGCGCUCCGGAUGAGUCAAUGAGGGGCAGGGCCCGAGGAGUGGUCUUCCCAAGAACCCCUGGUGGCCUCCCAAGGCCGGUGCUGUGUACCUCCUCCCCGACAAAAGGGGAAACUGAGGCCCCGAGGGGAGUGGGAAGAGCCGGCUGGACGUCAGGCCCAGCCGCUGGUGCAGUGGUCCGUCCCCUCUGCCGGGGUGGGCCCCUCGGGUUUCGCGUGUCCUCGGGAAAGAGACUGGCGGGUGAGCCGCGCCCUCGGCCUUCGCUGGGCUAAGCCGACCCCAUGCAGACGUCAAACCCCCCUAGGUCGGCACAGCCUCUCUGCGGGGAGGCUUAGUGCCCCCUUGAGAAACGGCUUGGCAACGCUGUGCCCGGGGCCUUGCACGCGGGCUGAGGGGGCUAGAGACCUCGCGACUUUUACUCCCCCGACCCCGAUCUCCGACUCCUGACUUUGGAAGCCCCCAAAGCUGCUUUUCGGUUGCCUACAAAGUGUCGGUCAUUGUGCCACGUCCUUGGAACCGUGAACUCAUUUUCUCCUCAAUAACCUUUAAAAAGUAGCUGUAAAACCUCCAUUUUACAGACCAGUUGGCUGAGGUUUAAAUGGAGGACGCUCCCAGGGCCCCAGAGGGGCGAAUUCCAGACUCCUUUGCCAGGACCUUGUACUAAGCCCCUUCCCUACGCUUUUCCCUGCCUAGGCCUCGUGGGCUGUGCGGCUAUCCUGGAGACAGAUGACAGCUCUCCCUUGGAUGGCUUUGCUGGUUCCGCACCAGCCAGCGCCCCCAUUUUUCCUGCAGCACCCUGAUCUGCACUCCCUGAGGGGCUCCCACUGUCCGCGGUGUGAGGAUGUCCCUGGGUAAGUGGUGCUGGUCAUGAGCACUUUGGGGGACCCUUCAAAUUCCCUUCUGGGGGACCCCAGCGGAGGGCAUGGUCAUGAAUUCCGAGAACUGUAUGGCAAAGCCGGGUGCAGAGGAGAGCCUGGCUAAGUUCUUUCAUUCUCCUGAGCUUGACUUUCUGUAAUGUAGGGAAACUGCGAAAGCUCUGUAAGUGGGGAGAUCUUGCACGUUUUUCUUGCUUUUGAACCCAUGAUGUCUGGCUACUUGUAGAUACUCAAUAUUUGUGGGAUGAAUGAACAAUUUAAGCCUUUUUUUUUUUUAACCAGAAAUUGGUCUUCUGUGACUUUCUUGAUGGGGGCAGAUGAGAUCUUUGUACUGCAUUAAGUGGAUAGCGCUCAGGUCCUUUGGGCUUGGCGCUUUGGCAAUCUCCAGGCAGCUCACUUUGGCCUCUGUUCCUGGAUCCCCUUUGCUCUUUUCUGCGCCUGCAUUCGUAAGUGAUCACGGGCUGCCCGUGUCCUGGUCAUUGGUAGUGCAGGCAGAGGAAAUGCGGGAAAGGUUGCUGUGUUUGGAGGGUCCACAUCUUCACCCUCCUGUCCCAGGAGCUUUCCUACACUCCUCCUUCUCAAAGCUGCACACACCUGGGGCCUCCAGGGGAUUGGGGGCUGCCGUGUGUGUUAUAUCAUGAUUAGAGCUUUCACUUCCUGCUCCCUGCUGUUGGGAACCAGGCUGUGUGUGUUGCUUAAAUUCCCCUUGAUGACCAGCAGAGUCACUGCCACUCAGCCAUGGCACACUGCUGUAAACCUGGUUUUGAUCUCCUUUCAAUCUUUUGCUGAUUAACUACACAUUGAUCAGUGUUGGCCACCCUCACCCUGCCAUAGACCAUCCGCUGUCUUCCUCUGUAGAGUUAACUAUUUUCUCUUUUAUGAGGAAAUAGUGUGUUUGCUUAGGAGUGUUUACUGUCUGGUAACUACUGUGCUAAGCCCUUUCCUGUUGCCUGCCAUCCCUGCUGCGAGCAGGGACAAGCUGGGUGCUCACUCAUGGCAUCUUAUCUGUUGCAGAUAGUCCACUGUGUGCAGAGGCAUGGGAGUUGUCAUGUUGGGAACAUGCUAGACCUCAGUAUCCUUGAGCUUGAAGAAAGACGACAGAACACUGGAGACCAAGUACUUACAGCCUUCUGCUCUGUGGCCCCUCCUCACUCCAGGGAUGCUGCCUUGGGUCUGGAAACUGUUAGAGGAAACCCCAAGAGGUGCAGGCACUGAGCCUCUCAGGACAAUGACCUGGGGUCCCAGCUCCCCUGGAGGGGCCUCCUCAUGAUUGUUUGGGGGUUGAUCACAGACCAAGAGUGACGAGUGAUGUCACCCUGUGACUCAUGGCUGGACCUUCUUGCCCCUAUUGUCUCAGCACAACAUUAUUCGACUUUUCCCUCAGCGUGGGUGGGCAGAGGAAAAGCCCUGUGGCUCUGGGGACUUGGGAUCCAGAGUUGAAGACCCUUCAGCUGGCUCUGCCCUGCCAGUGCCACAGAGUGCCAUGGCCCAGGAAGACAGGUUUUCUUCCAUCUAGGCCAGGCCAUCCAGUGGCCAUCCUCCGUGUCCUCCCGCCUCCUCCUGGUGUGACUUCUGAAAACCAAGAAUUUGUUCCUGUUGACUUUUUCUGUGCUAUGGACCAUUGUCCUCUCACCCACUCAAUAAAUCUUGAAACAUGCCCUGCUGCUUGUUCUUUCA
ensembl:lncRNA SNHG11 small nucleolar RNA host gene 11